AUUGAACGCUGGCGGCAUGCCUAACACAUGCAAGUCGAACGGUAACGCGGGGGCAACCCUGGCGACGAGUGGCGGACGGGUGAGUAAUACGUAGGAAUCUGCCCAUUUGUGGGGGAUAACCAGGCGAAAGCAGGGCUAAUACAGCAUACGCUCUACGGCGGAAAGCGGGGGAUCGUAAGACCUCGCGCUAAUGGAUGAGCCUACGUCGGAUUAGCUAGUUGGUAGGGUAACGGCCUACCAAGGCGACGAUCGGUAGCUGGUCUGAGAGGACGAGCAGCCACACUGGGACUAAGACACGGCCCAGACUCCUACGGGAGGCAGCAGUGGGGAAUAUUGGACAAUGGGGGAAACCCUGAUCCAGCAAUGCCGCGUGGGGGAAGAAGGCCUGCGGGUUGUAAAGCACUUUCAGAGGGGAAGAAAAAAUCGGAUCUAACACAUCCGAGCUUGACGUUACCCUUAGAAGAAGCACCGGCUAACUCCGUGCCAGCCGCCGCAGUAA
rnacentral:rRNA from 1 species